rnacentral:rRNA from 1 species
CACGUAGGGGGCGAGCGUUGUCCGGCUUUAUUGGGCGUAAAGAGCUCGUAGGCGGCUCGGUAAGUCGGGUGUGAAACCUCCAGGCUCAACCUGGAGACGCCACCUGAUACUGCUGUGGCUAGAGUCCGGUAGGGGAGUGUGGAACUCCUGGUGUAGCGGUGAAAUGCGCAGAUAUCAGGAAGAACACCAGCGGCGAAGGCGGCACUCUGGGCCGGAACUGACGCUGAGGAGCGAAAGCGUGGGUAGCAAACAGG